rnacentral:misc_RNA from 1 species
GAAAUGCGAUAACUAGUGUGAAUUGCAGAAUUCCGUGAAUCAUCGAGUCUUUGAACGCACAUUGCGCCCCUGGUAUUCCGGGGGGCAUGCCUGUCCGAGCGUCAUUGCUGCCCAUCAAGCACGGCUUGUGUGUUGGGUCGUCGUCCCCUCUCCGGGGGGGACGGGCCCCAAAGGCAGCGGCGGCACCGCGUCCGAUCCUCGAGCGUAUGGGGCUUUGUCACCCGCUCUGUAGGCCCGGCCGGCGCUUGCCGAACGCAUAUCAAUCUUUUUCCAGGUUGACCUCGGAUCAGGUAGGGAUACCCGCUGAACUUAAGC